CCCAACUAUCCCUAUUAAUCAUUACGGUGAUCCUAGAAACCAACAAAAUAGAACCAUGCCGUCCUAUUUCAUUAUUCCAUGCUAAUCUAUUCAAGCACUGGCUUGCUUUGAGCACUCUAAUUUUUUCAAGGUAAUAGCUCUGCUUCCCCAACGCACCAACUUAAUGGCAUGCUGGUUAUUCAGAAGGUAAGAAUCCAUCUCAUCAGUGCGGACCGUGAGGCUCGACCGAUGGACAGACCCCGAAAUUCAAC
rnacentral:rRNA from 1 species